GACGAACGCUGGCGGCGUGCUUAACACAUGCAAGUCGAACGGAAAGGCCCUGCUUUUGUGGGGUGCUCGAGUGGCGAACGGGUGAGUAACACGUGAGUAACCUGCCCUUGACUUUGGGAUAACUUCAGGAAACUGGGGCUAAUACCGGAUAGGAGCUCCUGCUGCAUGGUGGGGGUUGGAAAGUUUCGGCGGUUGGGGAUGGACUCGCGGCUUAUCAGCUUGUUGGUGGGGUAGUGGCUUACCAAGGCUUUGACGGGUAGCCGGCCUGAGAGGGUGACCGGCACAUUGGGAAUGAGGAUCCGGCCCGGCUCCUUAGGGGGGCAAGAGUGGGGAAUUGUGCACAAUGGGCGGGAGGCUUAUGCAGGCACCCCGGGUUCGGGAAGACCGGCUUUCGGUUGGAAACCGCCUUUGGCUUUGGCGAAGCGUGAGUGACGGUAAUGGGUAAAGAAGCACCGGCUAACUACGUG
rnacentral:rRNA from 1 species